UACGAAGGGGGCUAGCGUUGCUCGGAAUCACUGGGCGUAAAGGGUGCGUAGGCGGGUCUUUAAGUCAGGGGUGAAAUCCUGGAGCUCAACUCCAGAACUGCCUUUGAUACUGAAGAUCUUGAGUGCGGGAGAGGUGAGUGGAACUGCGAGUGUAGAGGUGAAAAUUCGUAGAUAUUCGCAAGAACACCAGUGGCGAAGGCGGCUCACUGGCC
rnacentral:rRNA from 1 species